rnacentral:rRNA from 1 species
UACAGAGGUCCCAAGCGUUGUUCGGAUUCACUGGGCGUAAAGGGUGCGUAGGUGGUCGGGUAAGUUUAAGGUGAAAGCUCCGGGCUCAACCCGGAAAUGGCCUUGAAUACUAUCCGGCUCGAGGGUUGGAAGGGGGACUGGAAUUCCGCGUGUAGCAGUGAAAUGCGUAGAUAUGCGGAGGAACACCGAUGGCGAAGGCAGUCCCCUGGGCCUGCACUGACGCUCAUGCACGAAAGCGUGGGGAGCAAACAGG